rnacentral:rRNA from 1 species
AUUGAACGCUGGCGGCAGGCCUAACACAUGCAAGUCGAGCGGUAACAGGGGUAGCUUGCUACCCGCUGACGAGCGGCGGACGGGUGAGUAAUGCAUAGGAAUCUGCCCGAUAGUGGGGGAUAACCUGGGGAAACCCAGGCUAAUACCGCAUACGUCCUACGGGAGAAAGGGGGCUYCGGCUCCCGCUAUUGGAUGAGCCUAUGUCGGAUUAGCUAGUUGGUAAGGUAAUGGCUUACCAAGGCAACGAUCCGUAGCUGGUCUGAGAGGAUGAUCAGCCACAUCGGGACUGAGACACGGCCCGAACUCCUACGGGAGGCAGCAGUGGGGAAUAUUGGACAAUGGGGGCAACCCUGAUCCAGCCAUGCCGCGUGUGUGAAGAAGGCCCUCGGGUUGUAAAGCACUUUCAGCGAGGAAGAACGCCUAUCGGUUAAUACCCGGUAGGAAAGACAUCACUCGCAGAAGAAGCACCGGCUAACUCCGUGCCAGCAGCCGCGGUAAUACGGAGGGUGCAAGCGUUAAUCGGAAUUACUGGGCGUAAAGCGCGCGUAGGUGGCUUGAUAAGCCGGUUGUGAAAGCCCCGGGCUCAACCUGGGAACGGCAUCCGGAACUGUCAGGCUAGAGUGCAGGAGAGGAAGGUAGAAUUCCCGGUGUAGCGGUGAAAUGCGUAGAGAUCGGGAGGAAUACCAGUGGCGAAGGCGGCCUUCUGGACUGACACUGACACUGAGGUGCGAAAGCGUGGGUAGCAAACAGGAUUAGAUACCCUGGUAGUCCACGCCGUAAACGAUGUCGACCAGCCGUUGGGUGCCUAGAGCACUUUGUGGCGAAGUUAACGCGAUAAGUCGACCGCCUGGGGAGUACGGCCGCAAGGUUAAAACUCAAAUGAAUUGACGGGGGCCCGCACAAGCGGUGGAGCAUGUGGUUUAAUUCGAUGCAACGCGAAGAACCUUACCUACCCUUGACAUCUACAGAAGCCGGAAGAGAUUCUGGUGUGCCUUCGGGAACUGUAAGACAGGUGCUGCAUGGCUGUCGUCAGCUCGUGUUGUGAAAUGUUGGGUUAAGUCCCGUAACGAGCGCAACCCUUGUCCUUAUUUGCCAGCGAGUAAUG